rnacentral:rRNA from 1 species
GACGAACGCUGGCGGCGUGCUUAACACAUGCAAGUCGAACGGAAGGGCCCUGCUUUUGUGGGGUGCUCGAGUGGCGAACGGGUGAGUAACACGUGAGUAACCUGCCCUUGACUUUGGGAUAACUUCAGGAAACUGGGGCUAAUACCGGAUAGGAGCUCCUGCUGCAUGGUGGGGGUUGGAAAGUUUCGGCGGUUGGGGAUGGACUCGCGGCUUAUCAGCUUGUUGGUGGGGUAGUGGCUUACCAAGGCUUUGACGGGUAGCCGGCCUGAGAGGGUGACCGGCCACAUUGGGACUGAGAUACGGCCCAGACUCCUACGGGAGGCAGCAGUGGGGAAUAUUGCACAAUGGGCGGAAGCCUGAUGCAGCAACGCCGCGUGCGGGAUGACGGCCUUCGGGUUGUAAACCGCCUUCGCCUGUGACGAAGCGUGAGUGACGGUAAUGGGUAAAGAAGCACCGGCUAACUACGUG